ACGGCCGCGGUAUUUUGACCGUGCUAAAGUAACGCAAUCACUUGUCUUUUAAAUGAAGACCCGUAUGAAUGGUAGAACGAGGGCUUACCUGUCUCCCUUCUCAGGUCAGUGAAAUUGAUCUGCCCGUGCAGAAGCGGACAUAUAAAUGCAAGACGAGAAGACCCUUUGGAGCUUAAGACAUAAAAUCAAUUGUAUCAAAAACCCUUAAUAAAAAGAACCAAACAAAACAACACCUGAUUAACGUCUUCGGUUGGGGCGACCACGGGGGAAAAUAAAGCCCCCACGUAGAAAGGGAUUAUACCUAAAACUAAGAAGGACACCUCUAAGUCACAGAACCUCUGACUCAAAAGAUCCGGCACACGCCGAUUAACGAACCAAGUUACCCUAGGGAUAACAGCGCAAUCCCCUCCAAGAGUCCAUAUCGACAAGGGGGUUUACGACCUCGAUGUUGGAUCAGGACAUCCUAAUGGUG
rnacentral:rRNA from 1 species